UAUAAACCUCGUCUUUAAUCACACUGACAGCAUCUUCAUCAUCAUCAUCAUCAUCAUCAUCAUCAUCAUCAUCAGAUCAGAAUGCUGUGUUUGAUGGUCAUUGGAUUUCUUUUAUCCUGUGCAGAUUGUACCAAGUCAUAUCAGAGAAAAACUCUACACCAGAUGAACAGAGCUGCUUUUAAGGGGGAAACUGUUGUUUUUCACUGCAAUGGAACUCUGACUAGUGAACUUAAAGAUAUUGGUUGGCGUAAAGAUGGGAAUCUUAUUUUUAUCCAGAGCUCAGUUAUAAACCAAACUGUGUUCAACUACACAUCGAGCAGGAUGCAGGUUAAUCCCCGAAAUCCAAGAGAACUGCAGAUAUCUGAUGUACAGCUUUCAGAUAAAGGAUUAUACUUAUGUUUUCCAUUAGACAUGCAGUGGAUAUUGACCAUAGAAGCUUUAUCUUUUGACACCACAGAGAAUGAAAUACAGACCAGCAAAGGAAGGCUAUCCUACAUAGUUUUCUCAGUAAUCACAGUGUGUGUCUCAGUGUGUCUCUUUAUCUUCUGUGCCGUGUGUCUUCACAGAAAACAAGAAAACAGAGGAGCCUCAGAUCAAACACACACGGGCAAUAAGCUUGUAAGUUUUCACUUCACACAUAUUUUAACAUACAGUACUUUGUAAAAAUCCUCUAGCAUUUGUAAAGAAAUUCCAUCUGAUAAAAAGGUGACUUAAAAGAACAAGACAAUGUCAAUUUUCCUCAUCUAAAACAUGACUAUACUGUGUAGUGUUAUAAGGAAUCCAGACGGUAUUUUUUUUUACCGCUUAGAGAACCUUCCUCAGUUUCUCUGCAGACUUUGCUCUUUUGUAUGAUGUAGUAAUUCAAAAGACAUAAAAUAAGCAUCUAAGACUUUUUAAAAUAAAACCUUUUACACAUGUGCCCUGUGAUGGACUGGCACCGUGUCCAGGGUGUACCCUGCCUUGUGCCCGAUGCUCCCUGGGAUAGGCUCCAGGUUCCCCG
ensembl:lncRNA